ensembl:lncRNA
CUCAACCUUGAGAUGUAUCGUGAGGGCAAUUUUCAGUUUGCAUCACUUGCAGAGUCAUUGCUAAAUACUGCAGGACCUGGGCAUGCACGAAUGCUGGGUGUGAUGGAGGAGGAGGAGGGAGUGGUGACCAAACCACUUUGUGAGAUCCAUCUAGAGAAGACAAGAUCCUUGAGAAAGACUGUGGUAAAACAAAGCUGAGACUUAUAGGAGGGAUGGCCUGUGCUGCCAAGUUCCUGCUUUGCUACUCUGAAAUGAAGAGCACAGGUGCAGAACUGAGUGUCCAUAAGGUACAGGCUUUGUUCAGGAGGCAAACUGAGCAUCUCCACUUAAUGUGUGCAUGCCAGAGGGUGAGUGGAACCCCUUGUGCAGUGUGGAUGGCUUUGUGGCAGCCCAUAGGGGCAACAGUGAGCAAGUGCAGCAGUGGACUGAGCAUAGCACCCUGAGCAGCCUCGUUCCAUCAGAAGCAGAGCACUGCUUUGAGUGUGGCACAAACAUGCUGCUUGCCUGAGUUCCUGUAAACACCAGUUGCAAUGCUAGAUGUGAGUGUAUGGGAGAGAAAUGGUUUUUAGUGGGCUAUCUUGAGCAACUCUUAGUGAAAGAUUUGGAUUUCCACUUGGUGCUAGCUGAUGUAGUUUCAGCUGCCCACCUGCUGCUUUCUUCCUGACAGUUGGCUUGUCUCCUAUGUUUGUAUAUGUGCUGCAGCAUGGGCACUGUGGAGCACAGUGUGCUAUCAAGUGCCUGCGGCAGUGGAGUCCUGAGCUGAGCAGCCUGAGCUGCUACAAAAGCAGCAUUGCCCAGUGCAGUGCCUUCUGAUGGCAAAAUCCUCACUGUUGGUCUGAAAUACACAUAGGUUUAUGUUGGGCUUUGAUGAUCCAGCUGUAAAUCCAGAGUAGGCAGCUGAAGUCUGACCUCAGUCAAGUUGCCCGGCAUGCUCCAGCUGGGCUGAAGUUGACUCACUUGGUGCUGUACAGUAUUUGUGUUCCAUGAAACAAGGAUCCCCCUCAUUGAUUUGAGCCUUUCCAGGGACUUGAGGUUGUUAAGCUGGUAAGACUUUCCUCCUUUUCCACUGCUACUCAUUGAGGAUGACCUUCUCACCAUCCCUUUUGACUUUGAGCUUGCUGCUUCUCUCAAGUCCUCUUCUGACCCUCUGCAAGCCAAGAACAGCAUGUUUGUAUUGCCGUAGUGCUUAUAAGCUGUUCUCACAGGUUGUUCUAUCUCUCUCUAAGCUUUCAGUACUCACUUCUCCUGCCAGUGUCUUGUGUAACUCUCCCUAUGCCAACACUGUUGGCUUCCAUGGGUAAAUUUCCUUAUGUUGGAUAAUUUGGAAUGAGCUUAUGACAGAAAAAUCUCACUCUAAAAUGCACUUUACUCCUGCAUCGCCUUUCAUUUGAUCCUGUGGCUGAUGGGCUUUGCUGGGUUGAAAGUCAUGCUGUUGGCAUGUGUUUUUAUUUGCAAAUUAAGGCUAUCCUGCACUCAAACAAGACUUUUUCAUUUAAUGUGUAUGAGCAGGAGGCACUCAGGCUGCAAGCAGUUUCUGUAUUUCAGCUUCCAGGUCAGUGAGUUUUUUGUCUCAUUUGUGUCAGCAGACAGUAGCCCUUUGUUCAGCAGCAUAACCUUUUCUGCCUCAGUGACACGCGCACACACACAUAUGUGAUGCAGGUCCUGAAUUGUGCAAUAAACUCCAUGGAUAAGCUCCAUAAACCCAGCAAAGACAUCAUCUGUCUUACUUCAAGGAUCAACUGCGUGCCUUAUUGACCAGUGUUGAAGCCAAGGUUGUGGAGGCAGCUAAUUAUUCAUUUAUUUUGGCUUUUCCAUCCAUCAUUGCCUAUGCUGGAAAGAAAAGGGGCGUGGAUAGUGAGUGAAGUGUUUGUCUUUGAACAGGUUGCCUUUGUCACUUGUAAAAAUCAGGAUAAAUAUAUUAGUUAAGUAGUGUUUAAUUUAGCAACUGAGUAACAUUGUUUCCAAGAAGGGCCAGGAUGAGGAGGCCAGGAUAGGUCAUGAGCAUGAAAGGGCCUGAGUCAUGGGCACCGAAAUUUAAAGACGAAUGCAUCUGGCUGUUGCUGGUACCCUGAUGGCACAGCAACUGCUUGCAGCCCCAGUCUGUGCCAGCUGAUGCCUGCUAGCACCUCCUCUUCCCAUGCAGAGUCUGGAAUAGCAAGAAGCACCUGGGAGGCACCAUCCUGCUGCUGAUAGUGUGCCCAUUCUCAAGGAGCCCUCUGGGAGGUAUCUCAGUGGUGAAGAAACUUGCGUGGGCACCUCAAGCAUGCCAGUGUUUGUCCUACACAGGAGCAUGACUUCCCUCAAGAGCUGAGCCGCUGCUUUUCUGGCUGAAGAGGCCCUUUUCUGUGCUCUUCUGACCCAGCAGCGCCUUAUUCCUCCACCAAAACUGCACUCAGCCCUGGUGCACACACAUCCUGCUGGGCCUGCCCUGCUGUAUCCUUGCUGUUUGUGCUGUGGGUCCUUGCGGAAUUCCCUCUAUCCUGAUUCUCUUGGACUUUGUCCCUGACAAAAAAAAGCCCAUUUCAGGCUUCUCAGAGUUAAUACUCAUUGCCCUAACUCAGAACUGCCAUUUUAUGGGAAGUUCUGUCACCCUAAAGCUUGUUUGUUCUUUUUUUUCUCCUUCUUUAAUCAGAAUAAAACAGUUCAUUUUUUAGAUUUCCCAUGAGAAUGCUGUGUCCCAGAUACUGGUUUUAGAAAUGUUUUGCUCUGUGAUUCCCGAAUUUUCAUGUUGAAUUAUAUCCAUUUUAAGUUGUUGUACAACUUAGUGCUGGUUUGCUAAGCAUACACUGAUAGUCAUAGUGUGUGUAUUGCGUAGGAAAACAUUCUUUUGAUUGAUAAGUUCAGCUGCUACUUAGUACGAAUUGAAACAUCUUAUCUUAUUCCUUAGAACAGGAAGUCCAUUGUUUGCAAUGUAAUGAAAGCUUGACAGUGCCAUUAUAACACCCAGGAAUGUCUUCAUCUAAGAAAGCAGGUAACAUUUUGUUCUGUAGUGUGAUGCAAUCCAUCUAAUCAUCUAAAAGAAGAUGAAAUAUUUCACAGCUACUGUCAUGUUAGGGCAAGGCAGUAAUGAUAUACGUGGUAUAAAAACCUCUAGGAAAAAAUAUAUGCAAUUUGGAAGUUCUGUUCUGAAAUAAAGCUUCUGAGCUGCCAGAAGCAAAGCUGUUCCAAAGCAGCUUUGGCAGGAACAUUUUAAUCAAAAUCAAUGCUCUUUAUAAAAUCAAACAAAUGUCGUCUUCAAAGAAGCUUUUCCCAUCGGAAUAAUUUUGGUGGUGCUUUUUUUUACUAGUUCCCUCUGUCCCUGUGAAAGCAGGGAGUGUUUGUUACACUUCUUUGCAGUGUGAGUGCAGAAGACUUAGCUUUCUCAUCAGGACUCAAGCCCAAGUCUCCAUAGUGAAAGUCCUAAACAUUCCUUCUUUGCACGGGCUGCUCUUUGGCUCCCACACAGGAGCAUGCUGUUCAAGCAGCUGCCAUCUUUCCUGCCUCUCACAGAGGGAAAGGACAGCGUGCACUCGUUGCUGGGCCUUUGCCACCCCCCUGCUCCCCCUGCACAAGGGAAAUGGCAAACAUAGUCAUGCCUCUUUCUCUUUUCUGAGGUGCUGCCCAAACAAGCAGUACAGAUGUGUUCCAAUGAAACAGGGAAGGCUGGAGCAGGGGCGAUAGCGUAUGUUAACUGGGAAGCUUCAGAAUGAUCAGCUCCCUAGUUUCCUUUCCUGUUACACUUUGCACUGUGAUGUGAUGCCUAGCAGGUGAGCUUCUGUUGCUCAUGUGGAGGAGUGUUUCUCUGGUUGCCUUUCUACAGUCAUCACUGCAGACAAUGGUGGGAGGCUACAGGUUGGGAAACCAAACUGUAGUGUGGCUCACAGCACAGGUGAAAACUUUGUCAAUCUCAAAUGAAAUCCAUGAGGUUGUUAUGUCAUAUAGUUGAAACAAACUGAUACCGUAGAGACAGAUUACUUGUUUGUCUUAAGCAAACGUUUGCUUUGGGAGUAGCAUCCACAGUAGAUGAGCAGUUCUGUGAGGGCUGUGGCAUGGCAAAGGAUUGCGGUGACAAUGCAGAUUUUUCAUGGUAGUCCAUAUACAAUCUGGACACCAGGAGGUACAAGAUAUAAAACAUUGCAGCAGAGGAGCAGGAGACAGUUAGCAAUACGCUGCCCAAACUGCUCUGCUUGUAGCAAGAUCAAGUGUCAUGUUCACCCCCACUGCACCAAUUUAAAGACUUUGUUAAUUUUUAUUAUCGGUAUCAGUGGGGGGAAAAAAAAGCCAUACCUAACAGGGAAGUCUAGGCUCUCCAGAAGUCAGAAAUAAAAACGCCGGCAGCUUUGUUGCAGAUGGAGAGAUGAGAAAAUGAGUGGCAGUUCCCCAGUUAGUGUAGAACAGGCAGAUUCUCUGAGCUGGCAUAUGCUGUGCAGCCUUGAGGCUGUUAUUACUGCAAGGAUCUGGGAGCAGCACAUGAGGGCAGGGUAUGAGGGCACUUCCUGGAACUAUGCCACUGAAAUAGCACUGGGCAAGUUCCCAUGAGUUUGCUCAUCUGAUUUUUACAUCCAUAAGACAACAAGAUGUCCCCAUUUGCAUCAGUUCGCAGAACUAGAUUAAGGUUUGGAGAAUUCUUUGUUCCCUAAGCUAAAAUCUGGGUUUAGCUACGUUCAAAUUGAUACUUUAUGCAGGUAUGGGAAUGCCUUUGCUUGUUAUUAACCUGUAGUCUGUGUGCCAUUUUUGCUCUCUGGGUUUGUGCUCAAAGCGAGCCUCGGAAAGGCCAGGCUAAAGGCUGCAAUCCGAGAGACAUCCUAGCUCAGGUUACAGUACCAGAAACUGCAGGGAAAGCCCAAUGUAAUGAAGCCAGGAGGAUUUUUUCCCUGUGAGUAGGGAGCUGGCGAGCCGUUCAUAGGAACACAUGGGGAGAAGUGGCCCACAUUAAGAAAAGAAAGUCCCUGUUGCUUGAGGCAAGUAGGGAGCUUCAGUGGAUAUAUCUGGCCAUUUGGGAUGGGUGGUUCAUCUGCGUUUUGGAGCUCUGGAGUCUGGCUAAAGGCUGCAUAGUUCUGAGUAGGACAGAGGUCUUAGGUUUGGGGCCCUGCCGGGGCUUCGGUCCUGGCAAUGCUGGCUGACCUAUAGAAGGUGCAGGCAAUUGGUGGUGAGCAGAAAAGCCUAGCAACAGGGGAAGGAGGCUGAGCAGAAAUGGGAUCGGGGGAAUCUUCUGUGAGAAUCUGCUGGCUUCAAAGUCAAGGAGCAGAGCAGUACAACUAGUCCACAGUGUGGGAGCCCUGCAGCAGCACAGAGAGACAGGGAUCAAGUGUAAGCAGCAGCUGGGAGCCAUGCCCACACAGGAGCCAUCUGCCUUAGGUGCUAGCAGGGGGAGAGCAGGGAAAGAGCUGGGUGCUAUGGAGGCAGCUGGGCAGCAGAGAAACUUUGAUACUGGAAGGAACACGAUGGAUAAGUAUUGGGGCCAACGUGUUUGCAGGGAUGGUUUCAAGAAGACUAUCCUGGUACAAACAGGGAGAUUUAAAACCAAGAUUCAAGAGUGCUGGGAACACUGUGUAUGGUUCUGUCAGUAAAGAACGCUUACAUAGGAGCAGGUGCAGAACAGGGCUCAGAGGGUGAGUGAGGGCCAGAAAGAUCAGCAGAUGAGAGAAAACUGAAAGAGAUCAGUUUGUUUUGCUUAGCAAAACAAAGACUGGAAGAGGAAUGUGAUGUCUCUCUGUAAACACUUCAUUGCAAAGUAAAUACUAGAGGGGAAGGAAAGGUCUUAUAAUAAAGAUCAAUACUGGCACAAGGACAAAUUGGUACAAAUUUGCUAUUAAUAAACUUAGCCUGAAAAUUAGAUUUUGAGCCACUUAGAGGAGUGAGAUUUUGGAGCAGUGUCUCAAAGGGAGAAAUAGAAACCAAAGGAGCCUGAAAAGCCUGCAGGAGCAAAGAAGGCAGAGAGUAAAUUAAAUCUCUGACACAGUCUCAUUCUGUUUUAUGCGUGCCAGUGCUAUAGAUGGCCCAAUCCCGAAGUCUGGGCAAGAGAGCAAGUUGCAGCAGUCAGCAGCCGAAAUGGAGAACCAACGGCCAAGUUACAAGUCAGCUGCAGGACAAGGGGAGUUUCAAGGUAGCUGAGCUAUGCAGAUAGCCAGCUUUGGCUGUAUCCCAGUGUUUGAGUACAGAGACUUCACCAGACUGGCUGAGGGUAGGGCCUUCUGACAGCAUCUUGCAGAAGCAAAACCUGCAGAGUGGGAUGCAAUUGUGAACUUUCUAUCUCCAUUCCCCAGCUGCUGCCAUUUUCUGUUCCCUUCUGGCACAGAUCUGUGUUGUGGCCGUAGUAGGGUAGCUUUGUCUCUCAUCAUUCCUUAUAUGCUAUAUCUCUGUGUAUUUCUUUUCAUUAAAGAUUAAAAUAUGUUCUGGGACAUAUUUUGGGAAUGCCUGCAAUUUUGGUGGAAACUUUCCCUGACAGCCUUUAGGCAUGAAAUUGCAGAAGGAGGUUUAGCAGAGCUGCCUUUGUCAGAGAUGAUACUAGGACCCUUUUGCAAACCGUCCUGGUUAGGUUUGCUUGGAAGUGUGGGAAAAUGCUUUGGUUGAGAGAAAAUGAAGUUAUUUCUUGGGAGUGUUCUCACAAUAGCUUUGUUGCCUUGGGUCAGAGCUGAGGAAUGCUUGCCUAUAAGGCAAGCUGAAGUUUUCAAGCUAGAAAACAAGAGGAGAAUCUGGAAAGAUACACUGAGACAUAAAACCAGGAGGGCUUUACAUCAAGUUUGUUUUCCAAGAAAGAGCCUCCCC